rnacentral:rRNA from 1 species
UACAGAGGGUGCAAGCGUUGUUCGGAAUCAUUGGGCGUAAAGCGCGUGUAGGCGGCCCGGUAAGUCCGCUGUGAAAGUCGGGGGCUCAACCCUCGAAUGCCGGUGGAUACUGUCGGGCUAGAGUGCGGAAGAGGCGAGUGGAAUUCCUGGGUGUAGCGGUGAAAUGCGCAGAUAUCAGGAGGAACACCAAUUGCGAAGGCAGCUCGCUGGGACGUGACUGACGCUGAGACGCGAAAGCGUGGGGAGCAAACAGG